AAAGAGAAGAUAACAGAGAAUUUGAAAUUGGAAGAUAAGAUGAAAUUAAAGUCCAAAAAAAAAGAGUUAUUUAUGUUUCUUCUUAGAAUAAUUUACAAGUUGAAGAUGGCAGCUGGAUAAGGUGAAAUCAAUGAUUGGUGCCCUUUAUCUUCUAAACCUCAAUGAUGAUUUGUUCCUUAGUCAAGCAGAGAAAAUAAAAAGGAAGGAUCUUCCCUUAAAUCAACAAAUGGCAGGAGAGAGUAUUAAAAG
rnacentral:misc_RNA from 1 species